GUGAGGAAUUUUCCGCAAUGGGCGAAAGCCUGACGGAGCAAUGCCGCGUGAAGGAUGAAGGCCUACGGGUUGUAAACUUCUUUUCUCAGAAAAGAAUUAUGACGGUAUCUGAGGAAUAAGCAUCGGCUAACUCUGUGCCAGCAGCCGCGGUAAGACAGAGGAUGCAAGCGUUAUCCGGAAUGAUUGGGCGUAAAGCGUCUGUAGGUUGUUUAAAAAGUAUUCUGUCAAAGAUUAGGGCUUAACCCUAGAUAGGCAGAAUAAACUUUUAAGCUAGAGUUUGGUAGAGGCAGAGGGAAUUCCCGGUGGAGCGGUGAAAUGCGUAGAUAUCGGGAGGAACACCAAAGGCGAAGGCACUCUGCUGGGCCAAUACUAACACUGAGAGACGAAAGCGAGGGGAGCAAAUGGGAUUAGAUACCCGGGUAGUCC
rnacentral:rRNA from 1 species